CGUAGGGUGCGAGCGUUAAUCGGAAUUACUGGGCGUAAAGCGUGCGCAGGCGGUUUUGUAAGACAGGCGUGAAAUCCCCGGGCUCAACCUGGGAACUGCGCUUGUGACUGCAAGGCUAGAGUACGGCAGAGGGGGUGGAAUUCCACGUGUAGCAGUGAAAUGCGUAGAGAUGUGGAGGAACACCAAUGGCGAAGGCAGCCCCCUGGGUCGAUACUGACGCUCAUGCACGAAAGCGUGGGUAGCAAACAGGAUUAGAUACCCUGGUAGUCCACGCCCUAAACGAUGUCAACUAGGUGUUGGGUGGGUAAAACCAUUUAGUACCGGAGCUAACGCGUGAAGUUGACCGCCUGGGGAGUACGCCCGCAAGGGUG
rnacentral:rRNA from 1 species